UAGAAUCUGGGUUGUGAACUUGUGCUGGGU
rnacentral:piRNA from 1 species